CAUGCACGUCUAAGUACUCGCCUUGGUCUAUUUAAAGUGAAACCGCGAAUGGCUCAUUAAAUCAGUUAUGGUUCACUGGACCGUACCACAUCCUACUCGGAUAACUGUGGUAAUUCUAGAGCUAAUACAUGCAACUAGGCCCUGCCCGGCCGCUCCGUCCGUCAAAACGACGGUCGGUCGGAAAGGGCGCCAUUAUCAGCUCAAAACCGACCGGGUCGCCCGCCGUCCUCUGGACGGGCAGGGCUCCCGUUCUCGUUGACCCUUUGACGACUCUGGAUAACCUCCUAGCGGAUCGCCGGUCAAACUUAGGUCGGCCGGGUGUUUCGGCAUCCGCGCCCGACCUAACGGCGACUGGUCUUUCGAAUGUCUGCCUUAUCAACUGUCGACGGUAGGUUAGACGCCUACCGUGGUCGUAACGGGUGACGGGGAAUCAGGGUUCGAUUCCGGAGAGGGAGCCUGAGAAACGGCUACCACAUCCAAGGAAGGCAGCAGGCACGCAAAUUACCCAAUCCCCGAACGGGGAGGUAGUGACGAAAAAUAACGAUACGGGACUCUUAACGAGGCCUCGUAAUCGGAAUGAGUCCGCUCUAAAUCCUUUUAACGAGGAUCUAUCGGAGGGCAAGUCUGGUGCCAGCAGCCGCGGUAAUUCCAGCUCCGAUAGCGUAUAUUAAAGUUGCUGCGGUUAAAAAGCUCGUAGUUGGAUUUGGGUUUUCGGGCCGGCGGGCCGCCGCCUUCGAGCGGCGCGUCUCCCGCCGCGCCCCCGGAACCGCACGGUCGCAGAGGCCCCCGCGGUGCUCUUGAGUGAGUGUCCGCCGGUUCGGGUCGCCGAACGUUUACUUUGAAAAAAUUAGAGUGCUCCAGGCAGGCCGGUAAAGCGUUGUUUAAAAAAGACCCGCGCCUGAAUAGUCACGCAUGGAAUAAUGAAAGAGGACCGGUGGUCCUAUUUUGUUGGUUUUCGGGAUUUUCCGCCGUCAUGAUUAAGAGGGACGGCCGGGGGCAUUCGUACCGCGGCGCGAGAGGUGAAAUUCUAGGACCGCCGCGAGACGAACCGUUGCGAAAGCAUUUGCCAAGAAUGU
rnacentral:rRNA from 1 species